UUGAAUUUGUUUGCAUCUUCGUCAGCUUAUUCGUUUGCAGACUAGAAAAAUGGCGAACAGCCAUCAAAAUACUGAUUAAAAUUACACAUCUUUCACUGGACACACAAAUGGGUGCGCGCCGCAAAAUUCAGCCCUAAUGGUGAAUGUGUGCGAACGUUCACCGUGGGAAGAGGUAUGGGACGACAGCUGACAUGGCAUCUAGACGGUAAUCUGGUGGCUUUAGCAUUAAGUUGUAACCGCUUUAAGAUAUUUGACAUAGCUGAAGGCGAGCUAAUACAGUGCAUUCGUCGCCGGAGAAUGAUGUUGCAUUUCACCCAAGUGGAAAUUUCUUGGUGACUGGCGGCGAUGACGAUACAAUAAGAUUGCUUGAUUUAUUAGAAGGUCGACCAAUUUAUACACGUUGCUCGUUUGGAAAUCUAAUUUGCAUACAUUUGAUGCCAAUAGCUCUCGCAACAAGCAAGCCAGCUCUCAAAGAGUCCAAAUUGAUUUUAGUCAUGCAACAGCUCCACAUAACUCCGACAUAAGGUUCGUUCGCGUAGCUGUUAAUUGUUCAUGUUUAACCAAAACUUACAGGUUUUUGCGUUCGCGUACGCAAAAAACUUGCAAAGUAGGGGAAAUUGAGAGAGCAAAAUGACAUUUCAUUUUGAGGGGAAGCUGUUAGUUUCUGUUGGAAAAAUUUUUGCCAACAGCAAUUUGCCAACAGGGAAACAGCUGAUCAAAAACAGCUGGUUGGCAUUUACGCAAAUCACAAAAUUUAAUUUGAUGGUUUGGAAGAU